rfam:Aedes aegypti strain Liverpool supercont1.128 genomic scaffold, whole genome shotgun sequence.
GGCUCAGUAGCUUACUUGGUAAAGCACUUGUCUAGUAUACAAGAGACGUAGGUUCGAAUCUCACCUGAGUAC